UUCUCUUUCAGCAGAAACAGCUAGAUGCAGUACUUCAGAUUUCAGAUCAUUUCUGAUUAAUCACAGUGACUUAAUGAUACAGAAAGUUCUGUACUAGGGUAGUGCUAGCAACUUGCUGAGGAUCCUCUGGUUAUAUUAGCCUACAAGGAAGAUUUUUCAUAAUAAAAAUAAUUGUUUCCAGUUGGUUUUAUUGUUACAGGACACUUCAGGUAACCAGGUAUGCUUGCAGAACAAUUGCUGCUGAUCAGAAGGGCUGAGGUGGUUGUAGCUGUGAGAGCUGAGUUGUUUUUCCAAAUCAAAGGAUGACACCCAGUCAUAGGUGAGGCUGUUCUGGACUGCGAGUGAGCUUGUUGGGAAGGCAGUCAAGGCUAAUGCUGCGAUUCAGCUGAAAAUUAAUGGAGCCAAGUGUUUCAGAGUGGUGGCUGAGAGCUACUGCUGUCCCUCUGACCCAUGUGGUCUUCACAUCUGGAGGUGGAAAGUCUUCGGCUGGGCAGGGGUAAGGGAGUGGGUGAGGGCUGCAGCUUGUCUUGAGCCCCAGAAUCCUUACCUAAAAGAAAGCUGGAUCCUGAGCAAGCCAGAAGGGCACACACAGGAGGGGCUCAGUAAUCCUUUGGACAAAUAACUGCCUCAGGAAGGCUUUGUGCAGUAAGCAGGGAGUCAUCAGGAGAUGGAAAAACUCCGACACAUCAGGGAAUGUAGGAACAGGGAGAAUUCACCAAUUGAUGCAGCUCAGUUGCAAAUGGCAACACAUAGAUAGUAAAAGGAUCUUUUUUUGUGUAAGUACAGGUUGGUGAGAUAGAAAAGAAAAUGAGUUAGAGUGGUUCCAGAGUUAAAUACUUGUUUUGUGCCGGGUUUCAGAGAGGGAGAUGGAGGGGAGGCCUGCUCAGCCGGCCUGAGCCCAUCUGCUUCAUGGUGUCCUGGGAGGACUCUGAAAUCCCAGAGCUGUUCCCAUUUUUUCAUAAGUCUGUCAAAUCCAGGUGAUCCUCUGGGGGAGAAAUAGCACUGAAUGUGAGGGACGGAAUUUUCCAUGCUCCGCAUCCCUCAUGCUGGUCUCCUUCAACACAAGUCUCAGCAAUAGGCAAGUUACUAGAACAGAUGUAGAAGGAAAAGCAUACAGAGAUAUGAAAAAUACAUAUGAUACUGCCAAAGUAGGUCACACCAGACUUAAAUCAUAGCCUUCUGUUGAUGAGAUCUGCUGUAGUGUCCUCUUCUGAGAGCUGCAGAUUGACUAAAACUAGAUCUCAUUCAUUAAACAUCUGAAGUAACAUCACAGGCCAAAUUUCUGGCUUCACCAGCAAGUCAGCUGGAAGUGAAUGUUGUUCUCGAUAGAGAAAAGUUUUAAUAGGUUUGGAAAGUAAUGGGGCGAAUUUGUGACUGAAAAAUGGAAGGAGACCUGUCAAUAGGAUGUGGUAAAUCUGUGGGCAGGUGCUGCUGUCAGCUCUGCUAGCUGCUGCAAGUCAGCUGUGCCAGCGCUGUGGGCACUGCAGACCUGUGGCCUGACCCUUUUUAUCUGUUUUUCUGUUCCUGCAGCAAGCAGAGGGGUGAUCGGGCUGGGGAUGGUGGUGGGCCACAGUGACAGGAGGCUGACAUUGGCUUUUCAGUAGAUUGCUUUCACAUCUAAUCUGGUUUAACACUUUCCUGAAUCAUGAUGGAAGUGUGACUGUUACUCGGUUACAUACAGGAGCCAGAAGUGGUAAAUAUUGUCAAUCCGGGGAAAGAGCAGAGUGUUUCACAGCAAGCUGGGAGACCUUGAGCACCAGAGUACUUAGAGUUGGGGUGAGGUGCAGUGGCAUGGCAUGUAAGAGUCACCUGUAACUGCUUGUUACUCAUAAGUUUGGGGAAGAGCUGCUCCCUGGAGGGGCCAAGGAGAGGAAUUUCGGUGUACUGGAGGACCAGAACAGUCCUACAGGGUUUUGCAGCUGUGAGGAGGGAAGCCAGGAGGGAUCCACAUUCAGCAGGUGUAGAGGUGAACUGUGUGGAUGCUCAGAGAAAUGGACGGCUUACUUUGCAAAAGGAGACUAAAAGACCUUUGCUUUUUUAAUGCAGCAGAAAUACGGGCUGAGAGGGGUUAUGAUGGAUGUCUAUAAAUACAUCAGAUGGUAAGAACCAGCAAGGAGAAAUAAGCAAAGGAGUAAAUGGAUAUAAAAUGGUCAUAAAUAUAUUUAGGCUGGAAAAUAAGUGUCCAGAGCUGUGAGGUUCUCGUAGAGUUUGUUCUAGGUCUAGACUGUCAAAAAUACACCUGCUUUUAAGAUAGAAAAUGUUAUGAACGUCAUUAAAUGAUGUAGUGCUAACAAUAGCACUGGCCUGGACUCAGUGAGUUGAGGUCACAUCAAAAAAAAAGAGAGACACUUUCAUUCGCUUCAUUGUAUUACAUGGGUGAAUAAGAAAGUAGCCCAAAAGUGAUUCAAAAAUAGUCUGAUGUCAGGUCUUAGAAGCUCGUGUAAGUGAAAAUGCAUGUCACUGUGAGUCAUGGAGGUGCAUGGAGAUACUGUCACCUGUUCUGUAGAAGUCAGAAGGCCUCUCAAGGACAUUUCAACUAUUUUAAGGAAAGCCAGCCUGGUUCAGUGGCUUCUGAACAUAUGCAAACUAAAGCUGCUUUGCCUUUGCUUCAAGAACACCUCCAGUUUUCCAUGAUGCAGCAUCUUUACAUUACUGUACUGUGGUACGGUACCAGGGUACUGUGGUUGGUGUUGGAUAGCUAACCAUCACAUUUGGCAGAGCGUCUUACUUUGGUGGACAUUGUUUAAAUUUACAUAGUUUUAGGCUGCUCUUGGUCACUCUGUAGUUAUCUCAACUCGUGGUUGCCAUCUAGGCAACUUUAGAUCUCUGGUGGGCCUCUUUCUAAAGGAGUUCCCACAACAGUUCACAGGCUUUGGCAUGAAGAGCUAACUCUUCAUUGAAUCUGGUUUUAGUGACUCCCUAUUGUCUGAGACACGAUGUGAGCUUGUCCUCCAGUCCCUUGGAAUGGAACUGGGGAGAAACCAGCUCGGGUCACUCCAGUGCUCAGCAGAGACGGGGAGUAUGGUCUGUGAGAGUCCAAAAUAUAAAAACCAGGCUCUUAAGGCAAUUGACAAGACCCUCACCCUCAUCACUUGGUCUUAUUUUCCUGGAAAGAUUGGCUUAACAAAUAAAUAAAUAAACAAACCCCUUCACGUACCAAGAUUCUUCCCUUCAGAAUGUAUGCAUUUGAAAGUCCAGUGACGAUUGAUUUCUGUCCUCGAUCCUCAUAAGUCUUACAGUAAUUUCUAUCUUUUUAGAAUCUGACCCUUUUAAAUAAUUGUUCUCUCGACUGCCUUAAUUAUUAGCUUUGGUGUCUGGAAUUGGAGAGCAGUACUACUUCAUUAGCAUGUUCCUGUGUUCCUGUUUUCUUCCACCUCGUAUCUUAAGUGUCAGCGUAAAACUUUUUCAUUGUGCCUUUCUAGUCUCAUGUGCUGAAAAUGAGAAUGCAGAUUUUCAGCUGACCUGUAGUAAGAGUGACACGAGUGAAAUGAAAUUCCAGUGUAGGAUGAUGUUUUUGCCAUGACAAGCCUUGCAAUGAACUGUGCUCAUUUAGAAUAGUGACUUUUAUUUUAAAAAAAAAAAAGAGAGAGAGAGAGAGAGAAAAUGUAUUCUCUGAAUUACAGGGAACUAGUGGAGGCAGGAAGGGAAAGAGAGUGGGGAGGAGGAUUUUCUUCAAAAGAAACCUUGAGGUUUAGCAUUGAGAGCAAGUUAGCCAAGCGUGGAGGUUGUCCUCUAUUAAGACUUACUGUUGCUGGUAGGAGUGGUGCAUUACAUUAGCCAAAUCACAGGCUGUGGUUUGGAGAUGUGGAUUCCGUGAGCAUUUGCUUUAAAUUUAUGCAUAUUACUUAAAGACAUGAAAUUUGAAGCACUAAUUAAAUGAUGAUGUUUUGAAAUCUGAAAAAAAAAUAGAUGGCUUGUUAAGCAUCCUAGGUUUUUCCUCUCUCUCGUGUUGGCAAGGGAGAUGUUGAUACUCGUUUGGUUCUUUAUUUGAACUGUUUUUUUUCUGGCUAGAGAGAUUUGAGAGAGAAGAUAGUGGUAUAAUUCUCCUCUGGUUUUGCUUAGCUAGGGGAGUUCGUCUGGAGAUCUUGUUAUCAGAUUUCCAUUUCCAGGACUGGAGAGUGAGGAUGGAUUGCAGCUUGCUUGGCCAGACUGAAUAUUGGCUUUUGUCUAAGUGGGUCAGGAUAGACUGGGGGGAGAGUGGUGUUUUCAGUCGGAAAGAGAUUCAAAUUGUCAGGAGGGAGACCUUUAUUAAUGAGAAAUGGCACAUCAUCAGCUUUGGAAAAAUCUGUAUGGAAAUAAUUUACGCUAUUUAAUUUCUCUGUUCUUUGCAGGUGUUCCUGUUUGUAUGCAGAGGUCCUUCCCAUUGUUUUCUCAGCAACCCAGCCUGGUAGUCUGUGCCUUUUAAGUAGAAGCCAUAGGGAGCGUAAUGUAGAUUGCUCAAAUAUUUUGUGUGCUUCCAUUACAGAGAGGUGGGGAUAUUCUCUGCAAACAGGUUUUUUUUUUUUUCUGUUUAUCAGUCAGUGCAUUGAAUGCAGUAGCAAUGGUUCAACAAUUGUACGGGAUUCUCUGUCCGACACCCUGGGCAAACUGGUGUUACUGAUAAUAAGGGAGACCGUGAUCAAGGACUAUUAAUUUCAAAUGUCUCUCUUAACCACUGCUUUCAGUUUUGUAUUAUAGGAUACUUCUUGCAUAUCAGACGUUGGAUAACUAUUAGUUGGGACAAAAUGCCAGUGUAGAUGAGAGUUAAUACUGCGUGUCUAGGAUACUGAGAAACAAAUUGCUUUUCUCUUGGUAUAGGCUGUUAUCAAUCACUGAUUCAUUUAAAUGUUUUCAUUUUUGCGUUGUAUAUAAGUUGAGAGAGAUGUUUUGAAGCAUAGGCUUUUUUCUUCUAGGUUGUAGUGUUUGCAACAACCAUGGGUUUAACCAGAUGCAAGUUAGGGGAGGGCUGAGCAGAGUGAUGACAGUCAGGGUCAGAGAUGGAAAUUGGUGUCCUCAGUCUGCAAAGGCAUCUUAAAUCAUUCCCGAAUGUCCCUGGUCACCUGAAUUAGAGAAAGAUAAGUAAAUAAAACCUCCUGAUUAAACAUCUAUUUUCUUUCUUGUUAAUGACUUUCUUGUAUUUCUCUAAAGAUAAGCACUUAGUUUUCAUAGACCAGCAAUGCUGUGACUUGAGGCUGCAUGCAGUCCCUUUCCUUGGGGCACUGGGUGGAAAAAACUAGUAAUUUUAGAGAAGUUUGAAGUAUUCCUGGCAUUGUGUCUUAUAAGUAGGCUGGAAGCAGAGAGGAUAAGCCUGCAUCACACAAGUAAGUUCCCCAUGGACUUGCUCCAUAUUGUGUGGUUAAUGUGUGGACCACCCUUAGAGCUGUGUUUUAAAUCUUCCAACAUAACAAGUGUUGGGUUAACACGUAUGAAAGCCAGGAGAAACCACAUUCUUGAGGAUUUUGUGGAACCAUAGAUCUCCAUUACCUCUUAAAGCAUGGAAGACAUUUGGAAGAUUACUUCGAACCCAAAUUUUGAUCUAUUUGGAGUGAGUAAUAAACUCAUAAAUACAUUUAAUAUAUCUCAGUUACUGCACUUUACAAUCAAAACACAUAAUUGUCCAUCUGUUUCAAUGAGUAUUAAAUCUGAACUUAAGUUUUGACAUGGAACCGGAGAGAACUUUGUAUUCUUCCAGAGUUAAGUGAUACUUCUAAAAGAUUCUUCUUUAGAAGGGAGUAAUGAUUGCAAAGUUGUCUUCUCACUUAACAUUUUUACAUACAGAUGAACAUUAAAUGUGGCUUGGGGAUAGGUGGAUUGGGAAUUAAAGAGUUUAUGCUGCUGAGCUAUUCCACAGAACCUAAAGUCAGAGUUAUAUUGAUGACAUGAAGUGCUAGCUGUCUUGGUGUAAACCAUUCUUAGAGCAGUGCUUAUUCAAAAUCAUCUUUUAUCUGUCUCUGCAUUAUAACUGCAUUGGAUUUGCUUUUGCUGAUACUGACAAAACAAUUGAAAGCCAGCAUAUGUUCUCUCUCCUUUAUGAAUUGUGCAGUUAAAAUUAUUAAGUAAGACGCUAUCUUAACAGCAGUGAACCUAAUUCAAUAGAAUGAGCUUGUAAAUAUGUUUAAUAUCUCCUGCUUUAGCAUGUGGCGAAGGGAAUAUAGUUACAUUAUUGGCUAAGUAUAUCUGGAGGUGUCCUGGCCAUAUGGUAUUAAAUCUGUUUUAAUGUAAUUAUCUCUAUUAACUAAAAAGAAAUAAAAAAUACUCCCUUUGAGUUGAUUGACAUUCUUCUCAGUAAAGCGCCCUCAUUGCUGAUUAGAGGUGUGGAAAUAGUAAUUUGUUCUAGAGUUUAGAAAUUUGAUUAGACCUCUAAUGAAAUGGAGCGCCUACACACUGUCUAAAUAUUCUACCUGACACCAGUUGGAUCUCAUCCAGGUUGGAAGAACACUUGAAAUAUUGCUUUUUUACAAUAUGUUUUGUGUCUUGAAAUCAACUGCCUUCUUGCAAAUACCCACUGGGUGUUGAACCAGCAGGGUGAACCUUGACCUUCCUUGGAAACCAGCAUCAGGAUUUGAUUAUUCAGCUGAGUGCUCAUUGCCUCACUGCAAUAAUGAGGGUAGAAUCAGAAAAUUAAGGCAACUGCUUAAAUGGAAGCACCCGUAUUAUUAAAUAGACUUCAGAAGUGCUGUGCACAUACAUGGUAUGCAUUGUAUAACAUAUAGAUGUUGUCGAAGUAUGCUGUUAAAACUCACAAGCUGUUAGUGUUCAUGGGAAGCAAUAAGCUGAUAAGAGCACACUAGAUGAAGAUAAAAAUUGCAGAAUGAUCCCAGCUCUCCCCAUGACGAGAUGGCUUGUUCUGUUUCCUCCAAAAGUUGAUCAAAACAAUCUCCGGGUGCCCUGACAGUUGUUCUAGCACCUGUGUUUUAAGCUCCCUUAGCUCAGUUGGAUGCAGUUUUUGUUCAAGUGGACUACUGACAGAAAAGUCUGAAUCAGGACUCUUUAUUAAUAUCUUGCAGUGGAAACUUCCUGGUUUUUGCGGUAGGAAACACAUGAAAACAACAUUUGAAAUGCAUGAUGUCCACUAGUCAACAGCUCAUUUUGACUGAUAAGCUUACAGAAGAUAAGCUUUAAUGUAUCUUUUGUAUUCUUCCUUUAUAGUUUUUUUUUGUCAGUUUUCUCAUCCACUGUGGUCUUCAGUAUUUUUACUUUUUGCAAUUUCUACUUGUAAGCAAAUACGAUGGGAGGGUGUUGAACCAAAAGAACUCCGACUGAUUUAUGCUGUUUUAAUACAUAUUAAAGCUCGAGGUUAUUUUUUUUUCAUCUUAUGCUCCUUCCAGAAAACACAAACAAACUGUUCAAUUACAUUAGUAGUUUAAAUUUUGCCCACGUUAUGUUACUGGGGGAAGACUGAACAAGGCAGUAACAUGAGGGAUCACAUAAGUAGAACCUGUUUUAAGAUAAGUGACUCUUAUUCCAGCAAUUUAAAACUUGUUUUCUGACUUCAGUGUGGGUGCUUUGCAGGUAAUUGGGAGAAAGAGUGUGUUGGUUGAAAAGGUCAACUGCAGCAUUAUUAAAGAGUGAAAGAACCUACAUCCUGCCUUGUAGUUCUUCAGAGGAGAUGAAGCCUUGUACGUGUUAGAUAUGAGCAGAGGACAAGUGGAAAGAGAACCGUCUUCGGCCAUGCUGGAGCUGUUUCUCACCCUCAGCUUUGAAAAGCAAAAUGAGAAUGGAGGCAGAAGGAAGGUUUCCCUCCAUGCCCCUGUUCUUUAGGUGACUUAUGCAAAAGAUAUUUUAGAUAAAGCUGUAGUUCCUUGACCUAUUUAUCCGACAGAAACUUGCAGUACAAGCGAAAGCAGUUUGACAAUGCGGUGCUGUUGCUCUUUUAUAUGGGACACUCCUUUGGGUUAAGCUGUGCCUCAUGAAUACCUAAAGGCAGCAUCCAGCCAUCCAACAUGAGUAAUUCUUCUUGGUUUAGGAGCUAGGUCUAUGACUUCAAUUCAUAUUUCUCAAAAAACUUGGAAUACCUGUUGCAUGGUCUAAUUUCUAUCCACGCAGAGGUAAGCUGGGUAGAAGUAAAGGCUGUCAGCCUCUUAGGAGCUGGGCUUACUCCAGUGCUAGGGUCUUGGCUUGGAUUUGGUUACUUCAUACAGAAGAAGGGCAUGUAGACUGGAACAUAUGGAAGAUCUCAGUAGACAACGCAUGUUAACCAUUCUUCCAUUGCUAUAGGAGAGGGUAUAGAAUAAGUGGUUUUAUCAUUUCUGCAGGACUAGCUGGUGUUGGUUUUUUUUUUUGUUCUGUUUUUUUUUUACAGUCAUUAAGUCACUAAAUGCAGCCAAAAGUCCUCUUAGUGAAAGUGUAAGCAGUAAUCUGAGGAGAUGAUGGAGCCCGUCAGGUGAGGUUGGAGGUGAACGUGAAGUUCUGCCAACCAGCCGGCUUGGGCAAUGUGCAUGUGUUUAGGUACAGUGCAUUUUCUAUACCAGUUAUGAAUCUUCAUUUUUUGGAAAUCAGCAUCUCUUAUAAGCUUUGGCAGGAAAGUACAAGCUUUGUAUGUUAGGUCAUUACUGCCACCAGCUCAGCUCAGCUGUGUUAAGUCAGCGUGCUGCGGAGAUGGUGUGUCAGCAGUGACUCACCCUGGUAAGACCUAGCUUAAGAUGGGGGGGAAAAAAAAAAAAGAGGAAGAAACUGGAAACUGCUUGACUGUAAGUAGUUAUGGUCCUUCCAGCAAGCUGGUGGCUUUCAGUUGUGCUGCUGAGAUGAAGCACUUUCUCGAUCAGUCUCCUGUCCAAACAUUUCCCAGAUUAAUCAAACAUGAAAUGGUUGGUGGGUCAGCUCCUUGCUUGUUGCAAAAGCAAUCUCUAGUCUUUGCAAAUAAGACCAGUUGGAGAAAUAAUUUGUCAUAACUGGUGGCUGUGGUAGAAUUUCCUGUCAGGUGAGGAACCACGAGGACUCCCUCCUGGUUCUCCCAUCUAUGGCCCCAGCACCCAUAAAGGUUUUGGAGACUUCUUUUAAGGAGUCUCUGGAAAGCCAUGUAAGAAAUCUUACUCCAGUGAAGUCAUAUGUAUGGUACAGAUAACAGCUCCUUCUGUGAGACACUUACAAGUCAACUAAUCAGAAAAGGCUUAAGCCCCUGGCUUAGACAGCAAGGUGCUUGCUCUUGGAAACUGUGCCCUUAGGCUAGAGUAAAAGUGUGUUAGUCAGGGAGAUUCUAUUUUUCAUCUGGCAUGUUCUUUCUGUUUGAGUCAUGGACCAAAUUAAAAUGGCAAAACCCGUGCUUCUCUGAAAGCAGGAGGACAUUGUUCCUGUUGGGCAUCCAGAGGGACUAUCCUUUUCCAGACAGAGCUGGGAGAGCAGCAUCAGUGUUUCUUACGUUAUUUGAAUUGUAACAAAGAUGCUCAGCAGUCAUCAAUUGUAAAUGAGCAUUGGACUGAGAAACUGGUGCUGAGGGGGUUUCUCAUUGUUACAAAAGCUUUUCAGUGGAUUAACUUAUGAAAUUCUGUGGGUCAUGUUAACAUUUCACUCAGUGGAAUUUUAAGGAACCAUAGCCACAAGUUCUGUUUCCUGUAAACUAGAAAAUUUGUCAGCCUUGUAUUUUAAUAUUUUUAUGCUGGCUUGCAUUUUGAUGUGAACAGCUCAGCUGGAGGCCUUCGUGGUGAGGUAGCAUAGCCAAAGUCUGUCUGUAUUCUUCCAGGUACAUAUCAGUCUAAAGAAACAUCUGCCUAUCAGUGAGUACAGAGUGUACAUAUAUUUUCUUCCUGCUUUAACUCUUCAGAGAUUUUUUUCUUCACUUUUUUUGAAAUCUAAAUAGAUGUCACUUUUGACAAGGCACAUUCAGCAAAGGGAAAAAGUAUUUUCUUACUUAAUCUAGUGUUAGUUAACAAUUAAAGUGCAAGUACUCAAAAUUAUGAGGUAAAUGAUGCAACAGUUGUUGACUAUAGAAUCAUAGAAUCAUAGAAUUAGCUAGGUUGGAAAAGACCUACAAGAUCAUCCAGUCCAACAAUGUAUAUAGCCCAAUAAUGUGCUCAGCCAGGCUGCUAAGGAGUUAUCUGAUGUGGGCUGCAUGUCUUAGACUGGAGUAGCAUGAUGAUUGUUUCUGCAACAGUCCAGUGUAGCUAAAAUUUCUCUCCCUGUUUAGGUGAUGCCAAUUCAUACCUAUUUUAGAUAAUACGUUUCAUUUUUUUUGUAAUAGCCUAUAUAGAAUAGAUAGUAUUUGGGAACCAAAUCUGUCUUAGUGCUGCAGCUCAUGUUUCCCGAUAUUUAAUACUCCUUUAUUCAUUUCUCUUCUGUUAGCUCCAACGAUUUGCUUCUGAACCCACACAAACUUUAGGGGUCCACAGUCUCUUACAGCAAGGAUUUCCACGCCUUAGCUGAGCAUUGUUGAAGAGUUGCGGUACUGUUAUUUGGCCUUCUCACCUGUGACUUGGUUUGAAUCCUACUUUUGGAAGUGGUCCCAGUUCUCUGUGGACUGUGGCAGCCAGGAGGCCAUCAAGCGAAAUAUUGUGACAGCAAGUACAGCAUUUUAGUUGCUUUCCAAGACCCAAACUACUUAAAUCCUACAUGGAAAAGAUGGCUGGAAGCGAAGUGACAGCGCUGCCAAAAGAGGAGAGGUGACAGAAUGCGGCCUCGAUGCCAGCCUCUGCUUAAACAGUUCUCCCAGUCUGUUCUUAUGGCAGCUCCCAGUGAGGUGCACCUUCCUUAAAGUCCUCGGUGGUAAUGAGCUCUGCUGGAAUGCUGCAGUGUUUGAAGAUGUUCAGGCAUGGAUUGCAAAGCCUGUUAAAGGUUUUCUAUAAAAUAUGUCAUUAGAGCAUUUUGAUGGUUGCUGCUCUUAUAUUAAUCAUCUUUCAAACGUUUUAGCGUAUUUGAAAUCCAGUUUAAAACAAGUCAGCCACUUACUUCACAGUAGAAGGAUGCUGUUAUUGAUUUACAGUAUGGAUGGAUACCAUUCAGUUUUACUUGCUUACAGGGCGUGCAUUUUCAGACAGUACUUCUAUUAAAAAUUCAGCGGAGUAUUCUUAGGAAGCAGUUCUGCCAGGGUUACGUGGCAGAUUUACAUAACCCUGGGGGUCUUCCUCUCUCUUUUUUUUUAAUGUCCACCAGUUAUGCCUCUCCGAUUGGCAGCACGCCCAAUAACUGUGUGCGCAUUCAUGAAUUGCAGUAUUUAACUGCCCAGUUACUGUAUGCUAAAGAUAAUGUGCUAUCUAUCAGUGGUUAAUUUAGACAUUAAUUCAGACCUGCCGAAGCAGCUGCCCCUUAUCUUCAUGUUAGGUCAAAUGUUUGCUCUACCCAUUGGCUGUCCCAGCUAAACUGCUGAUGUUUUCCACUGUAACUUUUGCCCUUGAUGCCUGAUGCUGCUGAUGUAGAAAAUGCUCUUCUGCUGUGCUUGUAGGAUUUUAAGUCAUCCUGACCAUCACAAAAUGAUCUUCUGUCCUGAGGGUGUUUCCUGGGGAGCAUACAGACCUCCAGCAUUGGGUGUGCGGGGGAGGAAGGAGGCACAGUUGCUUUGUCUGCGCCUUCAGGGAUUGAUAAGAGGGGAGUUUUAUUUCUUUCACUUUGUUUUUUCUUCUUUGGUGGCUGAAUUAGACCAGAAGACCACUUUGGUGACAGUGCAAGCCUUGCCACUUACCAAUGGAUUCCUCUUUAUCUUCAGAGGAAAAGCAGGUCUUGCUAUGACAAAGUUCAGUUCAUCCUGAGUUAGACAUCAGCUUUAUUUUUGGGUAGUAAACAGCAUCCAGCUGGCAAAUUUAUUUGGGUGCCAGUGUUUGGUUAGUUCUAGUAUCUGAUAAUGACUGGGGCAUGAAUAACAACUUUUAUUUUGAGGUUUAUCUUAAAUUAGAUGGAAGUGAAUCUCUAGCUGCAAGUAAACUGAACAGGUGGCAAUCUGUCUCUCCAUUUCAUGUGUUAAUAAUCAAUGUUUAGGCUUGGUUAUUGGCCCAUUUACUUGAAGAAAUCUUCUCAUGGACAGUUUUUCAUUUGUCUGGUCAGGAGCCCUACUUUCUUGGGUACCUGUACUCUGCACUUUAGUUAUCUUGUGAUUAAGUUAUAGGUGUGUCUUUUACAUGAUAUAUUCAGAUCAAUUCUCUGUUUGGCUUCUUAAAUAAAUAAAUGUUUUGCAGCAAACUCGUUACUCAGAUGUUUGACUUGGAAUCCUUGCCUGUUUGAUUCCAGUUGCAGUUGAACAUUUUGGUUUAUAGCUGUAAAUAACUUGGAAACUAUCUCCAGGAUGGAGAAGGUGUUACAGCACAAAUGGGACUAAAAGAGGAUGUAGAUGUAGGUAGGCUUUCUUUAUGAAAAAGGAUGUAGACUUUUCUGGCAGUGACUGCAUGUUCACUUCUGAGUUUUUCUCCGUAGGUUGAGUAUACCGGAUAUCUUUCAGAGACUGAAGAACUGCUCUUGAAUUUCUGCUGCCUGGCCAUACAUCUUGGGUUGGGUAGAAAUUGCUGCCCUUUGGUUUCUAAUUAGUGUGGAUUGUGUUCUUAAUAGCGAGUAGAGGGAUGAGAACUUGGGAUAGGCUUCCUUUUAUUGUACGAAAUCCAAAAGGGUUGUAACCUGUUACCAAAGCAAAAGCUCCACAUCGAUUGUACUGCACUGGCUCCCUUCCCAGCUCCUUGCUCCACUCCAUCAGCUGUUAGGCACAAAGACACUGAAUUCCUAACAUUAAGGGUGGCUUUUAAGUACUUUGAAAUGCUGUUCCAUGAAAAAAAAAAAAAAAAAAAAA